UGGACUUUCAUUAUUUCAGUACUUACAAUGACACUUUGCACCUGCUUUCUGUAAAGAUGAGAUCUUAAAGCUGAAAUUUGGAGGCAGAAGAAUUGGCUUUUAGAGUUAAAGCAUUGUGCUACAAAAACAGAUUUGUAUCUUCCCUUGGACGGCUCGGAAACUGUCAGUGCAAUCCAGGGUAAGAAGGUGUGGAACCUAGAAAGACAGAAGUACGCGGGCCUCUCACUGCUGUGGCCUCUCCCGUUGCGGAGCACAGGCUCCGGACGCUCAGGCUCAGUGGCCAUGGCUCACAGGCCCAGCUGCUCCACGGCAUGCGGGAUCCUCCCAGACCGGGGCACAAACCCACGUCCCCUGCAUCGGCAGGUGGACUCUCAACCACUGCGCCACCAGGGAAGCCCUUGAAUUAAUUUUUAAAUAUGAUGCGAGGUAGGAGGUACAGAUUGAAGUUCAUUUUUUUGCAUGUGAAUAUCAAAUUGUUCCAGUACCAUUUAUUGGAAUGACAAGAAAAGCCUGUUCUCCUUUUUUAACUUUGUUGAAAAUCAAUUGAAUAUAAAUAUAUAUAUUUCUAUAUAAAUAUAUCCAGAAUCUCUAAUCUGU